CACGGAAGUUCACAUGCACAAGCAUCCUAAGCAAGGAGCGACUGUUCGGGCAUAUACUUCUCUGAGAACUGGAACAGAGCCAGAAAGCUCCAACCAGAGUGUUAGAAACAUCUAUAACUACUCUGGAACCUUCCAGCUAGAAGACAAGCUUUGAAGACAAUGUGCCCCCACCUGGAGGAUUGGGUGACUGAGAUAUUGAUCUAAGAAGUUUAUGUGCACAAAAUGGAUUUCCUAUUACCUUAAAUAAUGGCAACUGUGUUUUUCAGCUGUUUCUAAUACUGUUAGGAGGUCUUUGUUGGAUAUACUGUUUAUAGUCCAUGAAAGCUUUAUUGCAAUUCAAUAUCUGACUUAUUAGAGAAACUAGGUAACACAAGCAAGUCCCCUUCUAGCCACCUGACAAAUGAAUUGACAAUGUAACGAUUUGCAUAGCACUGAGAACAGGUGACCUCAAGCUCAGAGGUCUGUCUGCUUUUGCCUCCUGAGUGAGUGCAGGGAUUAAAGAGGAGCAGGGCAGCAUUCAGCUGAGAAUAGAGCUAGGAAGGACUCAGGGACUAUGGGAGGUGAAGAAAGAAAAGAAUGAGAUCUAGAACAGAUCCUGUAUUGUGUGUACUGAUCUUCCCCUUGAGACUGAAGACUUUAUAUCUGCAGUUGCUAGCUGACAACCUCCAGUCCUCAGUCUGAAGACUGUUUUUUUUUCCUUGCCAAAAAGCACUGCUUUCUGCCAGUGUGUGGCAGUGCUGAAGAGCCCUGAUAGUUCUGGAGCACUCCCUAGUACUACCAAGGCCUGUUCCGAUGGAAGCUUGAUGCUCUGCUUGCUUCUUUUACAGCUCUCAGGCGCUGAUCCCAGGGGCCUCCCUGAUGUUCCCCCAUGCUAAUUUGUUCUGAGUCAACUUCCCAGGGAACUUGACCUAGAGUAAAUACCAUGGCAGCCCUACUCUUAUUGUUUAUUUGCACAGAUUAUCCCUGAUGAAUAUGGUUUGAUGUACUAGUUUUUAACUUUACAAUGGUGUGAAACCAACACCAUUUAGUAUAAGAUUUUUGAUUUUGAUUUUGGUCAGUUCCCAGGCUCAUGAAAUGUGCCAAUGAGCCGUCGCUCUCAAAUCAGUUAUAGGAUCGUAAGUGUAAAUACUUAACAUUCUCUGUGCCAACUUGCUAAAGUGUAAUAUUCCAACAGAUUAAUGCAUUUAUGACCUGUGGAAGAUAUUUUCAAUGCAUAUUGGAAUUAUCAGAACAUAACCACAGUUUAGAAGCCUCUAUAUAUGGAAUAUUCAUGUAGGAUUUUAUUGAAAGCAAUUCAAACUGGUUUCACACUUAAAUGCUUUACCCAGUAAGGAAAAUUAUCAUUAUGUUAUAUAUGGAAGACUACUUUAUGGUUCAUCUUUCAAACUAACAUCAGGGGAGUAUUGUUUCUUUUUCUAUUAGCCUUUGUAUUUAUUUUGCAUUUAUAAACAUAUCCUUAUGCCUUAGAGCAGAAAUGUAUUAGCUAAUAGAAUGAGUCAUGACUAUUUUUAAUGUUCCUAACAUACCUAAAAUCAAGAAUGUUCAUUAAUAAAAGUGACUGUAACAAACC
ensembl:lincRNA Gm42586 predicted gene 42586